UUAUAGCGCCACGCAAUUAAUGCAGAUUCCUGAUACGCGAUGUUCCAGUUCUACCAACCGAGUGUAGACAUGAUUAAUGGCGAACUUCAUAGCCAGGUUGCUAUUAAUUCUCUCUUAUUAACCUGUUUGUUUGUUUGCGGAAGUACAUACAGUAAGUACUUUCUUCGCGAUCGAUAUUUAAAAAACUUUGAAUUCAACGCUAACAAAUUUUUUAAUGUAGAUUUUUGUUUUCAUUUAAAGUCGCACUCAACUAUCGGUGUUGUUAGCGAUUACUUUUUGGUUAAAACAAUGCACAUGUUUCCUGCUAAAGGCUCUAGUACUCUAAGAUCCAGUGACUUUUACUAUCGACUCAAAGACACUGGUAGAUACUGCAAUUAUCUCGGUACUUACCAUAGAAAUUGCACGCAGAAGGAAUAACGAUAAAUUUUGUGAACGAUCGAUGUAUUAUCUACACGAGUUUACUUCUAAGAUUUAGGAUGACCACGAUGAACAUUUCAGAAGCAAGGUGCAAGAAAAUGCACGAUCGAUAUUGCUAUGCAUAUUGGCAGAAACUUUCUCUAAAGAAGUUUCUUUUUCAAGGUUAAUGACUCAACUGGGAAAGAAGGGAAUCACGAUAAUCGUUCGAGCCGAAGUUGUUAUUACAGGCAACAAUGGAGUUUCAAUUGCGUUAUCGUGGUACGCGAUUGUACGUAACACUCGUAUAGAAUUGCAGUUCUAUUGUAUUGCGUAUUGUAUCGCAAUGUACCAGGUCACGAAUUCAAACUAUCUAGUAUUGCACAGCGGUCAUCCACCGUUUAUCCUGUCCGCAGGUUUAAGGCCGGAGUGCAUGAAGCGUAUUGCGUUAUUCCUAGUUAUGAUUUUAAGAAAAUUUGCGCAUACCAUUCAUGCGAACAUCUCUAUAUCUUCGAUCUAUUCAUCUUCCUAUUACGCAACGAGUAAGGCUUUGUUACGAAAUUGUUAUGCUUUGCUUAUUAAACAAAGUCGCGACAAUUACCGAAAGAAAGUAACCUACGAAACAUCGUCCAUACUAUCGCGAUAUUUGUUACGAUAAAAUUCAAAUCCUAAUUUAUGUGAUCUUUUCGUUCAAUUUUCACCAAUGCAUCGAUAUUUGACAGGGAGGAUCAACUGAAAAUUUUGCCGGUCGUAGAAAAAAUACGACAAAGAAUACGAAUUAAGCGAGAAAGACUACGGUGCCCAGUGAAUCGUGACAGUCAUACAUCGUCGACUCUGUGGAUUACAUAAAUACCACCUACACAUUCCACUGGUAUUACGUUGUCAAAAUCAAACGGGACCUCUCAGUGGUUUCUUGAACAAACUUCGAAGUCCAUGGCAGCCCAUAAAUCAGCCGGUAACAAUAUACUUCGAAGAAUCCGAAGAAGCCCUUUGCAGUGCAGUAAAAAUUCAACCGGACAACCUGGAAUCCCAUAAAUCUCCCACGACGCAUAUGUCCACGAGGACGUUCGCAUUUACUCUGUGUGGUUUAUCCAUGAAAGGAUUGCGCGGAUCUCGGCAGCGCGCCCUCUCGGCCGGAACGCGAAAUAGGAUCGUACACUCAAAUUCGUCGCUUCAAAGGGGUACUUCUUGCGCGGGUAUUUUCGGAAAAAACAUACCUUGUU